ensembl:lncRNA
CAGAGUGAGCAGGACUCCUUCUCGGGCCUCUAACGACCCAGGUAAUCGACUUCCUCAGAAGAUGAGCCCCGGUGUGUAAGGAACUCAUUCAUUAGCUUCCGGAAAGGAUUCUCACUAAAAGGCAAAGGAUCUGACAAUUAAGGCCAUCGGAUUUCACCAGGGCCCAGAGGAGCCCUCGCCCUGCCCCUGUCAAAGCACUUUACCUACCACCGGCUGACUAGCCGGCUGGACAGACCAGCGCUGUGCCUGAGAGGGGCUGGGGGGGGAACCUGUUCAUUAAGAUGGAGACUUGCUUUGUGACUGGAGCGAGUGGGGGUCAAGGGGUAGAAGUCUUGGGGCCUCUUUGAAUACAAAGCCCAUCAGCGAUCAGAGCCCCUAAAGGUCAGCCAGCUUCCUCUCACCCCUGCUCUGUCCACACAAGAGCUGGCUGCACAGCCACCAGCCGGCGGGGGUGGGGGGCAGUUCUCCUCAGACAGGGGGUCACUGACUGAUUAAACGAGGUGAGGCAGGUUAAGGCUCUCUGGCUUAUCCAGUUUCCUGGAGCAGCGAGCAAAGCCUUAGCAAACUACAGAAGAAAUCGCCGCAGCAGCCCCCACCCAAGGGGCAGGCCCACCUAAGCCAAGAUUCAGUUCCUCUGCCUCGUGAGAUGCAACUGAAUGACUUGUGCAGAGGGAUGAUUUAACAAGGCUUUUUAAAGGCGAGGAUAGGGUGGGGUGUGGGGGCAGGGGAAGGGGCAGGAGAGCCACCACUUGGUCAGAGUGGAUGGAGAAACGACUUGGGAGAAAAAAAGUAACUAUGAGGAAAAAGCCAUCAUGUUGGGAAAGAACAAGGUAGCCGUGAGCCUGGUGGCCUUCCCUGGACAGGCCUGUGUCCUAGAAACCCAUUCAGCCCGCCCCUUGUUAGCCUGGGCUUGGCGUGCAUGAGUUGCGAAGGGUACCUUCAAACCGGCCACGCGCUGUUUGAUCUCAAAACCCCACCCCUUCGUUCUGCACAGGUUAUUCAAGUAUUUCCAUACACCAAGCUCUAUGCCAAAGUCCAGGGCUACAAUGUCUAAAGGAAAACCAAGGAAAAAUAAGAGCCAGGGUUCCUGGUCUCAUGGAACCUAUCCAUUAGCUUAUAAAAGAAAUGCACUGUAUCUUCCACGGAGCCGGGAGUAUACCUAACAGCAGCCUGACCACGGUAGGGCUGUAAUGACUUUGUUAUUCCUUGUCGAGUUGCUGUUUUAUAUCUGGCACUUGGCAACUGACGGAAGAUAUUCCUGAUGGUAGCAAAGAAGGAUUAGAUGGACAAAAAAAAAAAAAAGGAUUAGAUGGAAAAGGCACCGAGCUGAAUGCUGCAGAGAAGAAAUUCUCAGGCCCUGUGCCCUUGCCCCAUUAGUUGUUGGCCAGGCAGUCACUGGGCCUGAUUAUUGCACCCCUACCCCCAAGGCCCUUUUGGCUCCAUCAUUACCUCUCCAAGCUCAGCUAUUGAUGUCAUUACCUCUGUUUUCAGCUCAGGGGUGCACAAAAGAUAUCAGCCUUCCCACUUCACCUCAGCUUCACGAAAAGCUAAGGCCAGGAUCCUCUUUCUGCCUAAAAUGGAUUUUCUGCUCCUGUGUCAAAGACAUUCAGAAGUGGCAGCAUAGAAGGCAGAAGCCAUGCAUCUUCUCAGCUGCUCUUCUGUAACAUCCAUACCCAGCCCCACCAUGCAGAGAUCAAGCGGGGGGCGAGGGGGGGUUAUACUCUUUAAAUGGUGUUGAAAAGAAUCCUCUCCCCUAAAACUGACUCUUCCUCCCUGGUGCUGCAGUGACUGAACCCACCAUUAGAAAAUAUUUGCUUUGGCAUUGUGAUUCUCUCCCCUUGAAGGGUAACACAUUAACCUGACUCUUGGUGGGGUUAGGAUUCUCUUGGGAACAACACACAGAGCGACAGUGAAGGGCACAGAUGACAUCCCUGCUCUUCGCAGAGCCUGUCCAGAUGCCACAUAACCUAAGUACAGAAUGUCUCUGGCUGAGAUUGUGGUUUAACAGCCAUGUAAUGAGCGCCACCAAUUCAGGUCAAGCAGACGGGUGACAGGAACAUUUAGAAAGAUGGCAGUGACACUGAUGGAUCCAAGCUGUGACUGCUUAUGUGUGCAACUGUCUUUCAAUAAUUAGGGCAAUGGUGAACAUCAGUUAUGACGUGGAAAAUAAAUGGAGGAGCCUGGGUAGACUGAGUUGGGGAAACUGAGGUUAUACCAAGUUUCUUCGCUGCUGUCCAACUUGGAUAUUCUAAUGUGCAUGGUGCAGAGGGGUGGAGAAUAUUGCAUUUCCCAAAUGUGAGCUCAAGAAAUAUCUUACGGGAUAGUUACAGUUGAAUACGUUUGAGAACCUGCUGCUUUUGUAAGAAGGUAAC